GUCCAAAGUGGUUGAGUUCAGUGCUGGGCUUUUUCCCUGGCUCUGGUAAUUGAGCUUUGGUACAUGGAAUGGCAUGGAGGAGGAUAUGAGUGGAAUGGUUAAAUUGUUUUUCCAUUUCAUUGAAUCCUUGCCUACAUUC
ensembl:snoRNA